rnacentral:rRNA from 1 species
CCUACGGGGGGCAGCAGUGAGGAAUAUUGGUCAAUGGACGAGAGUCUGAACCAGCCAAGUAGCGUGAAGGAUGACUGCGCUAUGGGUUGUAAACUUCUUUUAUAUGGGAAUAAAAUGUUCCACGUGUGGGAUUUUGUAUGUACCAUAUGAAUAAGGAUCGGCUAACUCCGUGCCAGCAGCCGCGGUAAUACGGAGGAUCCGAGCGUUAUCCGGAUUGAUUGGGUUUAAAGGGAGCGUAGGUGGAUUGUUAAGUCAGUUGUGAAAGUUUGCGGCUCAACCGUAAAAUUGCAGUUGAAACUGGCAGUCUUGAGUACAGUAGAGGUGGGCGGAAUUCGUGGUGUAGCGGUGAAAUGCUUAGAUAUCACGAAGAACUCCGAUUGCGAAGGCAGCUCACUGGACUGCAACUGACACUGAGGCUCGAAAGUGUGGGUAUCAAACAGGAUUAGAUACCCUUGUAGUC